UACGAAGGGGGCUAGCGUUGUUCGGAAUUACUGGGCGUAAAGCGCACGUAGGCGGAUAUUUAAGUGAGGGGUGAAAUCCCAGGGCUCAACCCUGGAACUGCCUCUCAUACUGGGUAUCUCGAGUUCGAGAGAGGUGAGUGGAAUUGCGAGUGUAGAGGUGAAAUUCGUAGAUAUUCGGAAGAACACCAGUGGCGAAGGCGGCUCACUGGACUGGUAUUGACGCUGAGGUGCGAAAGCGUGGGGAGCAAACAGG
rnacentral:rRNA from 1 species